rnacentral:rRNA from 1 species
UACGUAGGGUGCAAGCGUUGUCCGGAAUUAUUGGGCGUAAAGAGCUCGUAGGCGGUUUGUCGCGUCUGCUGUGAAAACCCGAGGCUCAACCUCGGGCCUGCAGUGGGUACGGGCAGACUAGAGUGCGGUAGGGGGAGAUUGGAAUUCCUGGUGUAGCGGUGGAAUGCGCAGAUAUCAGGAGGAACACCAAUGGCGAAGGCAGAUCUCUGGGCCGUAACUGACGCUGAGGAGCGAAAGCUGGGGAGCGAACAGG